rnacentral:rRNA from 1 species
AUUGAACGCUGGCGGCAGGCCUAACACAUGCAAGUCGAACGAGUGGCGGACGGGUGAGUAAUGUCUGGGAAACUGCCCGAUGGAGGGGGGUAACUACUGGAAACGGUAGCUAAUACCGCAUACCAUCGGAUGUGCCCAGGUGGGAUUAGCUAGUAGGGGGGGUAACGGCUCACCUGGGCGACGAUCCCUAGCUGGUCUGAGAGGAUGACCAGCCACACUGGAACGAAGACACGUUCCAGACGCCUACGGGAGGAAGCAGUGGGGAAUAUUGCACAAUGGGCGCAAGCCUGAUGCAGCCAUGCGGCGUGUAUGAAGAAGGCCUUCGGGUUGUAAAGUACUUUCAGCGGGGAGGCGUUACUCGCAGAAGAAGCACCGGCUAACUCCGUGCCAGCAGCCGCGGUAAUAC